UUCCGGUUGAUCCUGCCAGAGGUCACUGCUAUCAGUGUUCGACUAAGCCAUGCGAGUCAAAUGUUCUUCGUGAACAUGGCGUACUGCUCAGUAACACGUGGAUAAUCUGCCCUAAGGUCUGGCAUAACUCCGGGAAACUGGUGAUAAUUCCAGAUAUGCCAUAGAUACUGGAGUGUUCUGUGGUAAAAAGCUCCGGCGCCUUAGGAUGAAUCUGCGGCCUAUCAGGUAGUAGUGGGUGUAGUGUACCUACUAGCCGACGACGGGUACGGGUUGUGAGAGCAAGAGCCCGGAGAUGGAUUCUGAGACAUGAAUCCAGGCCCUACGGGGCGCAGCAGGCGCGAAAUCUUUACACUGCGGGAAACCGCGAUAAGGGGACACUGAGUGCCAGCAUAUUAUGUUGGCUGUCCGCAUGUAUAAAUAGCAUGUGUUAGCAAGGGCCGGGCAAGACCGGUGCCAGCCGCCGCGGUAACACCGGCGGCCCGAGUGGUGGCCACUAUUAUUGGGUCUAAAGGGUCCGUAGCCGGUUCGAUCAGUCUUCCGGGAAAUCUGACAGCUCAACUGUUAGGCUUCCGGGGGAUACUGUCGGACUUGGGACCGGGAGAGGUAAGAGGUACUACAGGGGUAGGAGUGAAAUCUUGUAAUCCUUGUGGGACCACCAGUGGCGAAGGCGUCUUACCAGAACGGGUCCGACGGUGAGGGACGAAAGCUGGGGGCACGAACCGGAUUAGAUACCCGGGUAGUCCCAGCCGUAAACGAUGCUCGCUAGGUGUCUGGGAUGGUGCGACCGUUUCAGGUGCCGCAGGGAAGCCGUGAAGCGAGCCACCUGGGAAGUACGGCCGCAAGGCUGAAACUUAAAGGAAUUGGCGGGGGAGCACUACAACGGGUGGAGCCUGCGGUUUAAUUGGAUUCAACGCCGGGA
rnacentral:rRNA from 1 species